UGAGUUUUGCAAAAUGCUAUCCAAAGGAAUAGAAACAAUGGCAGCAAGAUCUUUAUCCAUGGUUUACGUUCCGGCUCAUAAACCCAAAUGGGUUUUCAGUCCUUUGUCAUUUUGUUCUUCAGCAUCCAAGCCAAGGAAGCUGGUUCUCUACUCAAAGCCUGGUUGCUGUUUGUGCGAUGGCCUCAAAGAAAAACUCCACGCCGCCUUAUCACUUUCCGUCCCAGACUCCCUCCACGACGUCGAGUUACAGGUGAGAGAUAUUACCAGCAAUCCUGAAUGGGAGAAGGCAUACCAAUAUGAGAUACCCGUUUUAGCCAAAGUACUCUCUGAUGGCACUGAGGAACUACUGCCUAGAUUAUCUCCUCGACUUGGGGUGGAGCUUGUCCAUAAGAAGAUAACAACAGCUUUUAAACAUUAAGAUCUUUGUAAUUUUUUGUUCUAUGAUGGAAUGGAUACUGAAGUUCAUGUACAACUAGAAGGGAAAACGUUUUUGAUAUCUUUUAUGUAUUAUUAAUUCUGUGUAAAGUGCAAACGAAAGCA